rnacentral:rRNA from 1 species
GGGGAAUUUUCCGCAAUGGGCGAAAGCCUGACGGAGCAACGCCGCGUGAGGGAGGAAGGUCUUUGGAUUGUAAACCUCUUUUCUCAAGGAAGAAGUUCUGACGGUACUUGAGGAAUCAGCCUCGGCUAACUCCGUGCCAGCAGCCGCGGUUAUACGGGGGAGGCAAGCGUUAUCCGGAAUUAUUGGGCGUAAAGCGUCCGCAGGUGGUCAGCCAAGUCUGCUGUCAAAUCAGGUUGCUUAACGACCUAAGGGCGGUGGAAACUGGCAGACUAGAGAGCAGUAGGGGUAGCAGGAAUUCCCAGUGUAGCGGUGAAAUGCGUAGAGAUUGGGAAGAACAUCGGUGGCGAAAGCGUGCUACUGGGCUGUAUCUGACACUCAGGGACGAAAGCUAGGGGAGCGAAAGGGAUUAGAUACCCCUGUAGUC